rnacentral:rRNA from 1 species
GACGAACGCUGGCGGCGUGCUUAACACAUGCAAGUCGAACGAAGUGGCGGACGGGUGAGUAACGCGUAAUCAACCUGCCCAUCAGCGGGGGACAACAGUUGGAAACGACUGCUAAUGCCGAAUACUGCUGGCGGGGAUUGCGUCUGAUUAGCUAGUGGGGGGGGUAACGGCCCACCAAGGCGAUGAUCAGUAGCCGGCAUGAGAGGAUGAACGGCCACAUUGGGACUGAGACACGGCCCAGACUCCUACGGGAGGCAGCAGUGGGGAAUCUUCCGCAAUGGACGAAAGUCUGAGGGGCAACGCCGCGUGAGGGAUGACGGCCUUCGGGUUGUAAAGCUCUGUUAAUCGGGACGCGGUACCGGAAUAGAAAGCCACGGCUAACUACGUGCCAGCAGCCGCGGUAAUAC